CGGACUUAGUGAUCCGGUGGUUCUGCGUGGAAGGGCCAUCGCUCAACGGAUAAAAGCUACCCUGGGGAUAACAGGCUUAUCUCCCCCAAGAGUCCACAUCGACGGGGAGGUUUGGCACCUCGAUGUCGGCUCAUCCCAUCCUGGGGCUGUAGUAGGUCCCAAGGGUUGGGCUGUUCGCCCAUUAAAGUGGUACGCGAGCUGGGUUCAGAACGUCGUGAGACAGUUCGGUCCCUAUCCGUCGCAGGCGUAGGAAAUUUGAGAAGACCUGUCCUUAGUACGAGAGGACCGGGAUGGACGUACCUCUGGUGUACCAGUUGUCCUGCCAAGGGCAUGGCUGGGUAGCUAUGUACGGAAUGGAUAAGCGCUGAAAGCAUCUAAGCGCGAAG
rnacentral:rRNA from 1 species